rnacentral:rRNA from 1 species
UACAGAGGUCUCAAGCGUUGUUCGGAUUCAUUGGGCGUAAAGGGUGCGUAGGUGGUUGCGUAAGUCUGGUGUGAAAUCUCGGAGCUCAACUCCGAAAUUGCAUUGGAUACUGCGCGACUAUAGGACUGUAGAGGAGAGAGGAAUUCACGGUGUAGCAGUGAAAUGCGUAGAUAUCGUGAGGAAGACCAGUUGCGAAAGCGUCUCUCUGGGCAGUUCCUGACACUGAGGCACGAAGGCCAGGGGAGCAAACGGG